GAUAAAAUGACUGAAGUUUUAGGUAUUAAACUGUAAAUUUAAUUAUGAGGAUAACCUCUUUUAUCA
rnacentral:tRNA from 1 species